rnacentral:rRNA from 1 species
AUCAUGAAAAUUAAAAAAGUUGGCGGUAUUUUAGUCUAUUCAGAGGAACCUGUUCUGUAAUUGAUAGUCCACGAUUUAAGUAACUUAUUUUAUAGAUUUACAUAUCGUUGUAGGUUGAAUAUAUUUAAAGAUUUAAAAUAUUCAUAAUUUAUAAUUAAAAUAAAUCAGAUCAAGAUGUAGUUUAUAGAUAAGAAGAAAUGGGUUACAAUAAAUUUAUUUAAAUGGAUAUAUUUUUUUAAUAAAAUAUUAAAAUUGGAUUUGAAAGUAAUUUUAUUUAAAUUUUUAAUAUGAUUUUAGCUCUAAAAUAUGUACAUAUCGCCCGUCGCUUUCAUUUUAAAAUGAAAUAAGUCGUAACAUAGUAGAAGUACUGGAAAGUGUUUCUAGAAAGACAAAUUAUAGUUUAUUAAAAUAUUUUAGUUACAUUAAAAAGAUUUCUUUAGGAUAAUUUGAAAUAAAUAUAUUAUUAAAAUUUUAUAGUUUAUUUGGGUUUAAAAAAAAUAAUUUUUAGUUUUAUUAUUUAAAAAGAAAAAAUUUAUUUUAUUAUAGGUAAUAAGUAUUGUGAAAGAAAAAUUUUAUUUAAUUAAAAGAAAAAUUAAUUUUUUGNNNNNNNNNNNNNNNUUAUAUAAAUAAAUUUAUUUUAUUGUAGCAAAAAUAUUAUAUAUAUUUAUAUAGAAAUGAAAUGUUAUUCGAUUUUAAAUAUAUCUAGUUUUUUAAGAAAAAAAUUUAAUUUUAUUUUUAUUUUAUUAUUAAAUUUAAUUUUUAAUUUAAUAAUAAUAAGGUUUUAUAUUUAAAGGGAUGAGCUUUUAAAUAAAAUGAUAUAAAUUUUUAUAGAUUUAAAUUUAAUUGGAAUAAGAGUUUUCAUUUUUUAUAAUGUAUUAUAACUAUAUUUAGUAUUAUAUAUAAUUUAUAUAAAUUUUAUUUUUUUUAUUAAAAUAUAAAUUUAAAUUUGAAAAAUUUAGUAAUAAUGAUGAAAUUAGUAUAAUUAUAUGUAUUUAAAAAAUAUAAUUUUUAGGUAAAAUAAAGGAAUUCGGCAAAUAAAUUUUUCACCUGUUUAAUAAAAACAUGUCUUUUUGAUUAUAAUUUAAAGUCUAGCCUGCCCAAUGAGGAUUUAAAUGGCCGCGGUAUUUUGACCGUGCAAAGGUAGCAUAAUCAGUAGUUUUUUAAUUGAAAGCUAGAAUGAAAGGUUGGAUGAAAAAAUUUCUGUCUCUAUUUUAAUUAAAUAGAAUUUUAUUUUUAAGUAAAAAAGCUUAAAUGUAAGUAAAAGACGAGAAGACCCUAUAGAGUUUUAUAUUUUAAGUUUUUAAAGUUUUUAGUAUUAAU